rfam:Fusarium fujikuroi IMI 58289 draft genome, chromosome FFTJ_chr03
AGCAGCUUGGCGCAGUGGAAGCGCGCCGGGCUCAUAACCCGGAGGUCACUGGAUCGAAACCAGUAGCUGCUA